ensembl:snRNA U6 U6 spliceosomal RNA
GUGCUUGCCUUAGCAGCACAUACUAAAAACUGGAAUGAUACAGAGAAGAUUAGUAUGGCCCCUGCGCAAGAUGACAUGCAGUUUGUGAAGCAUUCUGUUUUUGU